rnacentral:rRNA from 1 species
GAUGAACGCUGGCGGCGUGCUUAACACAUGCAAGUCGAACGAGCAGUGGAGACGGAAACCUUCGGGCGGAAGACUGUAUUUCGAGUGGCGGACGGGGGAGUAACGCGUGGGUAACCUGCGUCAUACAGGGGGAUAACAGUUGGAAACGACUGUUAAUACCGCAUAAGAUCACAGCACCGCAUGGUGCGGGGGUGACAACUCCGGUAGUCUGAGACGGACCCGCGUACGAUUAGCCAGUUGUCGGGGUAACGGCCCACCACAGCGACGAGCGGUAGCCGAGCUGAGAGGAUGAGCGGCCACACUGAGGGUGAGACACGGUCGAGAAUCCUCCGGGAAGGAGCAGUGGGGAAUAUUGCACAAUGGGGGGAGUGAUGAAGCAGUGACGCCGGUUGAGUGAAGAAGUAUUGCAGUAUGUAAAGCUCUAUAAGCAGGGAAGGAAAUGACGGUACCUGAGCAAGAAGCCCCGGCUAACUACGUG